AUAUGGUAUUAGUAGAUUAGUAAAUAGUAGCAGUGAACAUUGUUUUCUCACUUCUCAGAGUGCUUAUUUGGUAUUCAGUGCAGUAAAACUCUUGCUAAUUUUUUGUUGCUGAAUCCAUCAGAUCUUUCUGGUUUGUAUAGUGUCUGUCACAAUUAUGGAAUUCGUGUUGCACUUGAUGGAUUUGUCUUUCCAAUACAUUGCUUAUUUGGUAUUACUGUAAUAGAUUAAUAGAUUGGUACUUGGUAGCACUGAACAUUGUUCUCAGAGUUUAUUAGGUAGUUGACUUGGCUGUCGUAUAUGCUGGUGGAGGUAAAUAAAUAUGAAUUCUAUGAUGGAUAUGUUAUGUUAUGAUCAUUUCAUCUCACUUCACCAGAUCAUGAUUGAGCAUCAGAUUAAAUGUUUUUAAUCAGGUAAAAAUGAGGUAAUGAAGUAUCCAUGUAUAGGGUUCAAAAUAAUGCUUUACUGAGGU
rnacentral:lncRNA from 1 species